rnacentral:SRP_RNA from 1 species
GCCGGGUGUGGUGGCACAUGCCUGUAGUCCCAGUUACUCAGGAGGCUGAGGCAGAAGGAUCGCUUGAGUCCAGGAGUUCUGGGCUGCAGUAUGCCAAUCGGGUGUCUGCACUAAGUUUGGCAUCAAUCUGGUGACCUACUGGGAGCAAGGGAACCUCCAGGUUGCCUAAGGAGGGGUGAACUGGUCCAGGUCGGAAAUGGAGCAGGUCAAGAAAUAUUUUAUUUAUUAUUUAUUUUCAAGAAAAGAAGAUGGAUAUACCAGGGUUUCUAGCUACUGUAAAUGAACUCCAGAUGCAUGCACCACUUUGUGCAUCUGGCUUU